AAAUUGAAGAGUUUGAUCAUGGCUCAGAUUGAACGCUGGCGGCAGGCCUAACACAUGCAAGUCGAACGGUAACAGGAAUCAGCUUGCUGAUUCGCUGACGAGUGGCGGACGGGUGAGUAAUGUCUGGGAAACUGCCUGAUGGAGGGGGAUAACUACUGGAAACGGUAGCUAAUACCGCAUAACGUCGCAAGACCAAAGAGGGGGACCUUCGGGCCUCUUGCCAUCGGAUGUGCCCAGAUGGGAUUAGCUUGUUGGUGGGGUAACGGCUCACC
rnacentral:rRNA from 1 species